UUAAACAGUAGAGUGGCUGAACUUACUUUGAGUUGAAAAGGUUCCUGGACCUAUACGGGUUUCCACGUUCGAAUAAUUCGGACCGGUAAAAAAGAGGAGCAGACAGUGAAAGUACCCAUAGAAAGACAAAAGGCCUGGGACUGGCUCUGCAAUGUGUUCAGUCGUCACUGACCCUUUAAAAUCCCUUCGAAGCAGUUAAACCGUCACUUACAUUCUAGAAUGUGAAAUAUAUAGUACAUUGUCAACUCCCCAAAACCAUAAAACUAACUUUAUGGACCCCACGUGACUUUUGAGAGCCAGUGAGGGGUAUCUCACAAUGGCCUGGGCGAUUUUUACGAUCGAACUUCGAGAUAAAAACCUCAUCCAUUUGACAUGUAAAUGUCAUAGCUACUUUUGGUAUAGUUUGGCAAAGCAAAUUUUAAACCAAAGCAACGCAAGGCAGUGCCACAGUUAGCCUACUUGGCAGAACCGCUCCUCAGCUUUUCAAAAGUAACCUGUGAAGUAUCAUUACAAGGGGGAUUAAUUGCUUGCCUAUGUGUACGUGUUCAAGUCGCAACAGAUGCAAGAAACAACAUUUGUUGUCUCGAAUCUGUAUUACUCACAUAUAUGAAGAAAACAUUGUGAAAAUAGUCUUCUGGAUAAAUGAGGAAAAAGAAUGGACAGAGAAUGGAAAACAUGGCAUAAACUGCAGCAAGGACGGACACCUAUGAGGGGGACACUUUUGAAUAGGCUAAGCUUUACCCAAAUAGAAGCGGGUCUGUCAAACAUGUCUUCAAUAACUUCCGUGAAGACUCCAUCCAUGUUCCAGUUAACUUUAUCUAUGUAAGUAGUCCAAAUGUUCAUUUUCAUGUUUCACUCUGUAAAUCUUCAUAGUUCUCGAUUGUAAGGAUUGUAUAUGUGUUCUUCAAAUUGUAUUAUUUUAAUUUUUAUUAUCUAUACUUAAAUGAAUUCUUAUUUGAUGCUUAACAUAUCAUGAAGACCUGUGUCUGUGGGCUAUACAGCAAUAUCCUGUCAAAUUAUAAAUAUGUGCAUGCAACUUGUGUUAUAUUUACAAUGUACAACAUUCUUAAUAGUUUCAUCUGUUUAAUGGACAAGAACUUUACUUGUACUUAAACAUUUAAAUGUUUGAAGCCAUUGCGUAAUGCAUUUAUUAAAAAAACGUCCAAUGGUAAGAUGUGUUGGUGGAGUUUUGUUUUGAUUGUUGUACUGGAUGAGAAUGUCUCGCAAAAGUGGGAAAAGUAUUUAGCAACAGAAAAUAAAAAUUGCCAUUGUGGA